GUCUCAAAGAUUAAGCCAUGCAAGUGUAAGUACGAGCUCUUGUACAGUGAAACUGCGAAUGGCUCAUUAAAUCAGUUAUGGUUCAUUUGAUUGUACGCUUUUACAUGGAUAACUGUGGCAAUUCUAGAGCUAAUACAUGCGUAAAGCGCUGACCUGACGGGAGGCGCGCAUUUAUCAGACCAAAACUAACCGGCUUUCGGGUCGUUACAAUGGUGACUCUGGAUAAGCUUGCGGAUCGCACGGCCUUGCGCUGGCGACAUCUCAUUAAAGCAACUGCCCUAUCAACUAUCGUCGGUACGGUAUCGGCCUACCGAGGUUGUAACGGGUGACGGAGAAUCAGGGUUCGAUUCCGGAGAGGGAGCCUGAGAAACGGCUACCACAUCCAAGGAAGGCAGCAGGCGCGCAAAUUACCCAUUCCCGGCUCGGGGAGGUAGUGACGAAAAAUAACAAUGCAGGCCUCGUACGAGGCCCUGCAAUUGGAAUGAGUACACUUUAAACUUUUUAACGAGUAUCCAUUGGAGGGCAAGUCUGGUG
rnacentral:rRNA from 1 species